UUUAUUGGGCGUAAAGGGAGCGCNGGCGGUCAGGAAAGUCUGGAGUAAAAGGCUAUGGCUCAACCAUAGUGUGCUCUGGAAACUNUCUGACUUGAGUGCAGAAGGGGAGAGUGGAAUUCCAUGUGUAGCGGUGAAAUGCGUAGAUAUAUGGAGGAACACCAGUGGCGAAAGCGGCUCUCUGGUCUGUCACUGACGCUGAGGCUCGAAAGCGUGGGUAGCGAACAGGAUUAGAUACCCUGGUAGUNCACGCCGUAAACGAUGAGUGCUAGGUGUUAGGCCCUUUCCGGGGCUUAGUGCCGGAGCUAACGCAAUAAGCACUCCGCCUGGGGAGUACGACCGCAAGGUUGAAACUCAAAGGAAUUGACGGGGGCCCGCACAAGCGGUGGAGCAUGUGGUUUAAUUCGAAGCAACGCGAAGAACCUUACCAGGUCUUGACAUCCCGAUGCUAUUCUUAGAGAUAGGAAGUUACUUCGGUACAUCGGAGACAGGUGGUGCAUGGUUGUCGUCAGCUCGUGUCGUGAGAUGUUGGGUUAAGUCCCGCAACGAGCGCAACCCUUAUUGUUAGUUGCCAUCAUUAAGUUGGGCACUCUAGCGAGACUGCCGGUAAUAAACCGGAGGAAGGUGGGGAUGACGUCAAAUCAUCAUGCCCCUUAUGACCUGGGCUACACACGUGCUACAAUGGUCGGUACAACGAGUUGCGAGCCGGUGACGGCAAGCUAAUCUCUGAAAGCCGAUCUCAGUUCGGAUUGGAGGCUGCAACUCGCCUCCAUGAAGUCGGAAUCGCUAGUAAUCGCGGAUCAGCACGCCGCGGUGAAUACGUUCCCGGGCCUUGUACACACCGCCCGUCACACCACGAGAGUUUGUAACACCCGAAGUCGGUGAGGUAACCUUUUAGGGNCCA
rnacentral:rRNA from 1 species